rnacentral:rRNA from 1 species
UAGAGUUUGAUCCUGGCUCAGGAUGAACGCUAGCUACAGGCUUAACACAUGCAAGUCGAGGGGCAGCAUGAAGUUUGCUUGCAAACUUUGAUGGCGACCGGCGCACGGGUGAGUAACACGUAUCCAACCUGCCUUCCACUCGGGAAUAGCCUUUCGAAAGAAAGAUUAAUGUCCGAUGGUACUGGUUUCUUGCAUGAGAGACUUUUUAAAGAAUUUCGGUGGAAGAUGGGGAUGCGUUCCAUUAGGCAGUUGGCGGGGUAACGGCCCACCAAACCGACGAUGGAUAGGGGUUCUGAGAGGAAGGUCCCCCAUAUUGGAACUGAGACACGGUCCAAACUCCUACGGGAGGCAGCAGUGAGGAAUAUUGGUCAAUGGACGAGAGUCUGAACCAGCCAAGUAGCGUGAAGGAUGACUGCCCUAUGGGUUGUAAACUUCUUUUAUACGGGAAUAAAGUGAAGCACGUGUGCUUUUUCGUAUGUACCGUAUGAAUAAGGAUCGGCUAACUCCGUGCCAGCAGCCGCGGUAAUACGGAGGAUCCGAGCGUUAUCCGGAUUUAUUGGGUUUAAAGGGAGCGUAGGCGGAAGUUUAAGUCAGUUGUGAAAGUUUGCGGCUCAACCGUAAAAUUGCAGUUGAUACUGGAUUUCUUGAGUGCGGUAUAGGUAGGCGGAAUUCGUGGUGUAGCGGUGAAAUGCUUAGAUAUCACGAAGAACUCCGAUUGCGAAGGCAGCUUACUGGACCGUAACUGACGCUGAUGCUCGAAAGUGCGGGUAUCAAACAGGAUUAGAUACCCUGGUAGUCCGCACAGUAAACGAUGAAUACUCGCUGUUGGCGAUACACAGUCAGCGGCCAAGCGAAAGCAUUAAGUAUUCCACCUGGGGAGUACGCCGGCAACGGUGAAACUCAAAGGAAUUGACGGGGGCCCGCACAAGCGGAGGAACAUGUGGUUUAAUUCGAUGAUACGCGAGGAACCUUACCCGGGCUUGAAUUGCUUCUGAAUAAUUUGGAAACAGAUUAGCCGCAAGGCAGAAGUGAAGGUGCUGCAUGGUUGUCGUCAGCUCGUGCCGUGAGGUGUCGGCUUAAGUGCCAUAACAAGCGCAACCCUCAUCUCCAGUUGCCAUCAGGUCACGCUGGGAACUCUGGAGAGACUGCCGUCGUAAGAUGUGAGGAAGGUGGGGAUGACGUCAAAUCAUCAUGCCCUUUAUGACUUGGGCUACACACGUACUACAAUGGCGUUUAACAAAGAGAAGCGAAGUCGCGAGGCAGAGCAAAACUCGGAAACAACGUCCCAGUUCGGACUGCAGGCUGCAACUCGCCUGCACGAAGUCGGAAUUGCUAGUAAUCGCAGAUCAGCAUGCUGCGGUGAAUACGUUCCCGGGCCUUGCACUCACCGCCCGUCAAG